rnacentral:rRNA from 1 species
AUUGAACGCUAGCGGGAUGCCUUACACAUGCAAGUCGAACGGAGUGGCGAACGGGUGAGUAAUGUAUCGGAACGUGCCCAGUAGCGGGGGAUAACUACGCGAAAGCGUAACUUAUACCGCAUCGUAUUGGAGCGGCCGAUAUCGGAUUAGCUAGUUGGUGGGGUAACGGCUAACCAAGGGGACCAUCCCUAGCUGGUUUGAGAGGACGACCAGCCAAACGGGGACUGAGACACGGCCCAGACUCCUACGGGAGGCAGCAGUGGGGAAUUUUGGACAAUGGGGAAAAGCCUGAGCCAGACAUCAGGCGUGUGCGAUGAAGGCCUUCGGGUUGUAAAGCACUUGUGGCAGGAAAGGGGUACCUGCAGAAUAAGCACCGGCUAACUACGUGCCAGCAGCCGCGGUAAUAC